AGUGAACGCUGGCGACGUGCUUAACACAUGCAAGUCGAACGAGAACGGAUUAUAGCUUGCUAUAAUUGUCAGCUAAGUGGCGCACGGGUGAGUAGUGUAUAGGUAAUAUGCCUCUUACUAAGGGAUAACAAUUGGAAACGAUUGCUAAUACCUUAUAUUCCUUUUUAUCAAAAGAUAAAAUGGGAAAGAUUUAUUGGUAAGAGAUUAGCCUGUAUUGUAUCAGUUAGUUGGUGGGGUAAUGGCCUACCAAGACGAUGACGCAUAACUGGUUUGAGAGGAUGAUCAGCCACACUGGAACUGUGACACGGUCCAGACUCCUACGGGAGGCAGCAGUGGGGAAUAUUGCACAAUGGACGAAAGUCUGAUGCAGCAACGCCGCGUGGAGGAUGACACAUUUCGGUGCGUAAACUCCUUUUAUAUAAGAAGAUAAUGACGGUAUUAUAUGAAUAAGCACCGGCUAACUCCGUGCCAGCCGCCGCGGUAA
rnacentral:rRNA from 1 species